AGAGUUUGAUCCUGGCUCAGAUUGAACGCUGGCGGAAUGCUUUACACAUGCAAGUCGGGCGGCAGCAUGGACUUCGGUCUGAUGGCGAGCGGCGAACGGGUGAGUAAUGCAUCGGAACGUACCCAGUCGUGGGGGAUAACGUAGCGAAAGUUACGCUAAUACCGCAUACGUCCUACGGGAGAAAGCAGGGGAUCGCAAGACCUUGCGCGAUUGGAGCGGCCGAUGUCUGAUUAGCUAGUUGGUGGGGUAAAGGCUCACCAAGGCGACGAUCAGUAGCGGGUCUGAGAGGAUGAUCCGCCACACUGGAACUGAGACACGGUCCAGACUCCUACGGGAGGCAGCAGUGGGGAAUUUUGGACAAUGGGGGCAACCCUGAUCCAGCCAUUCCGCGUGAGUGAAGAAGGCCUUCGGGUUGUAAAGCUCUUUCGGCAGGAACGAAACGGUUACGGCUAAUACCCGUGACUACUGACGGUACCUGAAGAAGAAGCACCGGCUAACUACGUGCCAGCAGCCGCGGUAAUACGUAGGGUGCGAGCGUUAAUCGGAAUUACUGGGCGUAAAGCGUGCGCAGGCGGCUUUUUAAGCCAGAUGUGAAAUCCCCGGGCUUAACCUGGGAACUGCAUUUGGAACUGGAAGGCUAGAGUGCGGCAGAGGGGGGUAGAAUUCCACGUGUAGCAGUGAAAUGCGUAGAGAUGUGGAGGAAUACCGAUGGCGAAGGCAGCCCCCUGGGUCGACACUGACGCUCAUGCACGAAAGCGUGGGGAGCAAACAGGAUUAGAUACCCUGUUAGUCCACGCCCU
rnacentral:rRNA from 1 species